GAUGAACGCUAGCGGCAGGCUUAAUACAUGCAAGUCGAGGGACAGCACAGGUAGCAAUACUGGGUGGUAACCGGCAAACGGGUGCGGAACACGUACACAACCUUCCUUUAAGUGGGGGAUAGCCCAGAGAAAUUUGGAUUAAUACCCCGUAAUAUAGUUGAAUGGCAUCAUUUGAUUAUUAUAGCUACGGCGCUUAAUGAUGGGUGUGCGGCUGAUUAGAUAGUUGGCGGGGUAACGGCCCACCAAGCCUACGAUCAGUAGCUGAUGUGAGAGCAUGAACAGCCACACGGGCACUGAGACACGGGCCCGACUCCUACGGGAGGCAGCAGUGAGGAAUAUUGGUCAAUGGACGCAAGUCUGAACCAGCCAUGCCGCGUGAAGGAUUAAGGUCCUCUGGAUUGUAAACUUCUUUUAUUUGGGACGAAAAAGGGCCUUUCUAGGUCAACUGACGGUACCAGAUGAAUAAGCACCGGCUAACUCCGUGCCAGCCGCCGCGGUAACAC
rnacentral:rRNA from 1 species